CUCCCACAUAAUUAUCUCCCCCACUUAAAAAGAAAUUAAACAUCCAUGAAGAUUUGAAACGUUAUUUAUGUUGACAGCUCAGGCAUUUGAAAGGAUGAUGAGUCCAACUGGUUCUAAUCUUAAAUCUAAUCAUUCUGAUGAAUGUACUACUGUCCAGCCUCCUCAGGAGAACCAAACGUCCAGUAUACCUUCACCAACAACUUUGCCAAUCUCAGCACUUAAACAACCAGGUGUUGAAGGACUAUGUUCCAAAGAACAGAAGAGAGUAUGGUUUGCAGAUGGUAUAUUGCCCAAUGGUGAAGUUGCAGAUACAACAAAAUUAUCAUCUGGAAGUAAAAGAUGUUCUGAAGACUUUAGUCCUCUCUCACCUGAUAUGCCUAUGACAGUAAACACAGUGGAUCAUUCCCAUUCUACUACAGUGGAAAAGCCAAACAAUGAGACAGGAGAUAUUACAAGAAAUGAGAUAAUUCAGAGUCCUGUUUCUCUGGUUCCAUCAGUGGAAAAAUUGUCUAUGAACACAGGAAAUGAGGGGUUACCUACUUCUG
rnacentral:sRNA from 1 species